rnacentral:lncRNA from 1 species
GAGAGAGACCAGAGGAAAUACAGCUCGAGGAAGGCAUUUCUACAGCUUAUGCCUAAAACACAGCGCCUGGAGUAGUAGCUUGAAUGUUUCUGGACUCAAGGAAUCUCAGAAGUAGACCUACAGGGAGGCAAGAUAGUUUCUCACUGCCUGUUCUAUCACCAUGGAUGGCAUUAUCUCAGUGUGGGCUACUGAACGCUGGUGAUAUCUAGGCAGAAUCCAGGAACUCAGUAAGUCGAGGAACAGAGGCCUCUCACGAGGGAAGACAGUAUCGUUUUAUACUUGUGGAAAUGGCCACAAUCCUAUUCAUCUUACAGUUAUGGAGGACAGCCAUCCACAACAACUUUCCUGGACAGGAGCCUAGCACUGCUGCCCUCUGAGAGGCCCUACAAGCAGCUGAACAAGUCAGAUGCAGACACUUACACCCAAACAAUGGAGAGAAGCUGGGGACCCCUGUGGUUGAAUUAAGGAAAGGCUGGAAAGCUGAGGAGGAAGACUAGCAGCCUCAACUAACCUGGACCCUCGAGAUCUCUCAGAUGCUGAGCCACCAACCAGGCAGCAUAUACUAGCUGAUAUGAGGACCCCCUGGUCUGGCAUCAAUUAGAGAGGAUGCACCCCACCCUUGAGAGACUUGAGUUCCCAGGGAGUGGGGAGGCCUGGUGGAGGUGGAGGGUGGGGGUGGGAACAUCCUCUUGUAGGCAGGAGGAGAAGUAAGGGAGUGAGGAACAAUCAGAGGGCAGACCAGGAGGGGGAUACUGACUGGUCUGUAAAAAAAAGAUUAAAGAGUAAUAAUAAAGCAAAAUAUUUCUUUAUAAGCAAACAAAAA